rnacentral:lncRNA from 13 species
GACAGUCUGAACAAAGUGGCAAUCAGAGACCAGGUAGGUUCAAAGCCUUCCAGAAGGGAUUGGAACGUGGCGGCAGAGUGUCUCCUCACUUUUGGAGGGUGCGAUGGAAACAGUGGUGUGUAAUUAGAAGUAGUUCAUUAGCUGUGGGUUAAUUACUCAGUUGUGGAGAAAGAACUGGUGGGGUGGCAAAGCGAAAGGAAGCAGCGAACACACAGCAGGAAGCUCCCAGUCUCCCGCCAAUUAGCAGGCAGCAUGGGGGGGCCGUUGAGCUGUGGCAGACUGGGAGUACAAAUGAGAGAAACCUCACAUCAUCUCACUCACACCACAGAGAGGGAGAGGGGGAAGAGAGAGAGAGAGAGAGAGAGAGAGAUAGCAGAGUAGGGAUUAGAGGGUGUCCCAGUGAAAGCAUUCUGUGGAAAUUAUUUCUUUGCAGAAAAAUGGCAUGAAAGCCAAUGGUGACCCAGCCUCUAAUUCUAGAGCGGGAUAUCCUGGAUAAAUAAUUAGAGGGUUCCUUUGAAGACCCUGCACAGCCUCUCCAUUCACUCUGCACUACACAUUUGCUAAAGUCAUUAAUGACAAAGAUUUGGAAAGAAAAAACGAAAAACUUUCCGGUACACAAAUACUUAUUUUAUGAGGCCAGGCCUGAAUUCCUUACUGCUUAGUUGAAGCUCUUAUGCUGGGAAAGAGCUGUGCUUGUUUUAAACAAUAAACCUCGAGGGAGAACUAAUUUCUGCAGCUUUCCCCUCCUUUAAAGAAUUAUGGAGCGUUAAUAAAGUUAAAGGAAUAAUGUGUCCUGUGCUUAAAUAGAAGGAAGCGAAGGAGGAGUGUUGGGACACUCAACGUCCGGGCAUUUGGAGAAAACAAAGACGAGAGAACAGACCUAGAGUUAGCCAGAAAUGUGAAGGCCGCUCCGUUUUGAAAGAAAAACUCAGGAGUGGGAGUUAGGACUGCCAGGGAAAAUUAAAGAGAUGCACUAGUGAUCCCACUGGCGCGUAAUGCCUGGCUAUUCUCAUUCAACACGGGACUACAGCUCCAAUUAGGUACCCGUGCUCACACUUAGUGACAGGCUAUUUUUACAAGGAGCUAUGCAGCUUCCCAGACUAGUGAGGCUACCCAGGCUCAUUCUCACUGGAGACAUAAAUAAAGAGGAGAUGACAGCUGAAUUUACAGUCGUCAUAUCCGGAUCCCUUUCAUUUUCAACUGCCAUUUUCUUGUCUAGUUUCAUUUAAAUGAUGAAAGUCAGGGGAGGGAGGAUACUGCGGUUGGAACUAUGAGAAGGUGCAUUGGGACUAUAUGUCUCUGGAGUGAAGGCCAUUCAGCACCUGUCUACCUACAGAUGGUACACGUCAUCGUUAACAGUGGCGGUUUAUACACAGAACACUCAUAAAUCAUAUCUUUAUGCAAUCACCGUGUUAGAAAAGGUUCAGAACCUGCCUCAUGGUCUACAAGGACAGAAGCCAAGUUAAACUUUGAGAGGUGACGCGCAUUCCUUCAGAGCAGAGCAGCGAUUAGGAACUCUCAACAUAGGAAGAGGGAAGAAAAACACAAAGAGAAAACAAGUUGUUAAGUGUGUAACAAGGUGGCCUGCAGGGCGGCGCUGAAAGAAGCCUCGCCGCUCUGCGUUCAGGAGUGUUAGAACAUCAAACUACAUUUCCGUCUCCGCAGAAAACUGCAGCUAUGCGAAGACAAUUCAAGGAGUAAAGCAGAACUGAACUCAUUCACAAGCGUUCCUAAUGUAACCAUACCAAACCAUGUAGCUGGGUUGUGUUCAAGAUGGCUGAGGAGCUGUGGGAUUCCCAGACAGACAGGCCC